rnacentral:rRNA from 1 species
UUACGGGAGGCAGCAGUGAGGAAUAUUGCGCAAUGGGGGAAACCCUGACGCAGCAACGCCGCGUGGGUGAAGAAGGCCUUCGGGUCGUAAAGCCCUUUCGGACGGGACGAACGCUCCGCGGUGACAAGCCGCGGAGACUGACGGUACCGUAGGAAGAAGCACCGGCUAACUCCGUGCCAGCAGCCGCGGUAAUACGGAGGGUGCGAGCGUUGUUCGGAAUUACUGGGCGUAAAGCGCGUGUAGGCGGCCUUGCAAGUCAGGCGUGAAAGCCCUCGGCUUAACCGGGGAAGUGCGUCUGAAACUGCUUGGCUCGAGUACGGGAGAGGGAGGCGGAAUUCCCAGUGUAGAGGUGAAAUUCGUAGAUAUUGGGAGGAACACCGGUGGCGAAAGCGGCCUCCUGGACCGAUACUGACGCUGAGACGCGAAAGCGUGGGGAGCAAACAGGAUUAGAAACCCUUGUAGUCCA